GGGAAUGUAGCUCAGUGGCAAGGCACUUGCCUAGUAUGCAAGAGACCCUGGGUUCAAAUCCCCAGCAUCA
rfam:Ictidomys tridecemlineatus contig055359, whole genome shotgun sequence.